rnacentral:rRNA from 1 species
UUGCUUUCGAUAGGCGUCGACCGGCGCACGGGUGAGUAACGCGUAUCCAACCUGCCCAUAACUAAGGGAUAAUCCGUAGAAAUGCGGUCUAAUACCUUAUGUGAUCCGAGGAAGACAUCUGAUUUGGAUUAAAGAUUUAUCGGUUAUGGAUGGGGAUGCGUCUGAUUAGAUUGUUGGCGGGGCAACGGCCCACCAAGUCUGCGAUCAGUAGGGGUUCUGAGAGGAAGGUCCCCCACAUUGGAACUGAGACACGGUCCAAACUCCUACGGGAGGCAGCAGUGAGGAAUAUUGGUCAAUGGGCGGGAGCCUGAACCAGCCAAGUAGCGUGCAGGAUGACGGCCCUAUGGGUUGUAAACUGCUUUUGUAUGGGGAUAAAUUGCUCCACGAGUGGAGUAUUGCGGGUACCAUACGAAUAAGGACCGGCUAAUUCCGUGCCAGCAGCCGCGGUAAUACGGAAGGUCCGGGCGUUAUCCGGAUUUAUUGGGUUUAAAGGGAGCGUAGGCCGUGGAUUAAGUGUGUUGUGAAAUGUAGGCGCUCAACGUCUGACUUGCAGCGCAUACUGGUCCACUAGAGUGCGCGCAACGCGGGCGGAAUUUGUCGUGUAGCGGUGAAAUGCUUAGAUAUGACGAAGAACCCCGAUUGCGAAGGCAGCUCGCGGGAGCGCAACUGACGCUGAAGCUCGAAAGUGCGGGUAUCGAACAGGAUUAGAUACCCUGGUAGUCCGCACGGUAAACGAUGGAUGCCCGCUUUUCGGUCAUUAGACCGUGAGGCCAAGUGAAAACAUUAAGCAUCCCACCUGG